GCUGCGUGAUGCAGUGAAACUAGAAAUUUGCGACUCACAAUAUCAAGAAAAGUCUUCAUCAUUCAUAGUCUAUACUGCCCCUUGUAUUUCAUCCAAAAACAUACUACCCUGGUAGACUAAAACAAGAACAAUGGCUGGGUGACACAGUGAGACUAGAAAAUUGUAUAUUGGAAUAUCAAGAAAAGUCUUCAUCAUUCACAGUCAAUACUGCACGUGUAGACC
rnacentral:lncRNA from 1 species